rnacentral:rRNA from 1 species
CACGUAGGGGGCAAGCGUUGUCCGGAUUUAUUGGGCGUAAAGAGCUCGUAGGCGGUUUCGUAAGUCGGGUGUGAAAACUCUAGGCUCAACCUAGAGACGCCACCCGAUACUGCGAUGACUAGAGUCCGGUAGGGGAGUGUGGAAUUCCUGGUGUAGCGGUGAAAAUGCGCAGAUAUCAGGAGGAACACCGGUGGCGAAGGCGGGGUCUCUGGG